CUGACUUUAUCCAUAAAUGGAAACAGUUGGAAAGCAGCAGCAGCAUUUCAUUGGAGCAUUCCAAAGAUUACAGUGAAGCCUUACUAGAUCGAGCUGGAAUUUGGGGUUGUUUACAAGCUGGAGUCUUAUCUGCAAAAAUAGCUCAGUUUAUUACAUCAUCCAACUUCAGCUUCAGACUUGAUUGUUGCAUCUUGUCAUCAUUUUUCUUCAAGGGUUUGUUCAGGACCACAUUUCCACAUCCAAGGUCUGAUCGUGAGUAUGCAUCCUAUGAGAUAGGAUUUGACUGUGAGGUUGUUGAACUCAUUCCUGGAAUUGACCUUUUUUCAGACCGAUUUCGAGCUGAUGUACGCUCAGUGGUCGGAAGCCUAGACUUCCUUCUCCAUGAGCUAUAUAGUGCUCAGCAAAACCUGAAGGUUCUGCCUUUAUUCACACUCUACCAGUACUUUGUCAGUGUAAUCUGUCGUGACGUAUAUAGGAGUGUUUGGGGACGAAUACUGAAGGUCAGGGUUUUAGCAGAUUUGGGCCUCUUUGCAGAAGCUUUUGAUGAACACAGUUUCUU